AAAGAGGACCAAAAGGAAAGAAAGCAUCAAGCCAGAGAUAAGGAAAUCAGAGAACUUUUUAGGGAUUUGUGACGAAGAUGAACUAAAACCUUGUUUUUGGAAGGCGACGGGUUGGUCUGAACCAUCAAGGAUAAUCGUGCUGGAUCAGAGUGACUUGUCAGACUGACUGGAACUGGAUCAUAGAUGGAUUCCAGCCUGAUUUUGAGCAUCCUGGUUGUGAGCUCCUUUCUUCUCUCAUCUGCUUCAGUUGCCAUCAGGGCAGCAGUUCAAGUUCCGUAUCUCACACUUUGUUCAGCUGCUAUAGUAGUCAUGGUGGUUUGACUCUGUCUAUAGGCAGCAUGUUUAACCAUUUGUUUCCGAUCAGAUUCCUGAAAAGUGCAAGGUAGUUGCAAUUUCAAAAUUUUUUCAUUGUGCCCAGAAUGGCUUUUGGUUUUGUGAUG
ensembl:lncRNA